AGCGACGUUCGAUAAAAACAGAGGAUUGCGCUAUUUAAUUGAUCAAAAACACCAACAAAUUAGCCAUUAAUAUUUUGAUUCCAGUAGCGAGUAGUUCUUUAAAUGUAACUAUGCAAGCUAACAUUACUGUCCAUGUUUAGCAUAUACGCAUGCGCUGUCCGAUAUCAGUCAUCGUCGUAGUUAACGUUCGGUAAACGACAUUUUGAACUGAAAGAGAGACAUUUAAACCGUGAGCUGUCUAGGAAGUCGUAAACGAUGAAUUAUUUCACACCUUUUCAUCUGAAUAGGUAGCUAUCUAAUAAUACAAUGAUUAAUAUAACGUUCAUAUCUAGUCUGACUCUGAUCAAGCUUGUCGUAAUAUUUUUAGUUGUCGAAUUCGACACAACGAAAUACCACGCUUCACACGUCGAGUAAAUUACUAUCGAAUCGGACCUGGCCAGCUGGCUACCGUACACCCAGAGUCAUAACGUUAUACAGUAUAUAGAGACUCUGGUCAACGUUUUCUAGCUAAAUGGCCCACAAAACCAUGGCUAUCAAACUAUAGCUUUGGGACACAACAUCGGGAGUCCAUAGACUGUCCCAAAGCUAGCAAGCCCCAGCCAAAGUCCAUUGCAUUGGCACGGACCUAUUUAUGGCCCUGUACAGAAACAACCCCCGAGCCAUUGACACUAGACCUGCAUUAAUUGGACAGGUAGCUAGGUAUAGGUAUUAAGCCUUUAUAAGCAUUGUUUUUGCUGCAGCUUGCCCUCUCUGCUACACCACUUGUUCAUUAUCAUACUUUUUCACAGAACAGGGCCACUGUUAAAUCAAGGUGUGGGACACUGAACUAUGCAGUAUGUCUCCAAAAGGAACUCCAUUGCCUAUUUUGUCUGUGAAAGAAGUCCCAUCUUGACCUCCGCCAAAGAGACAUGCCCACACAACUUUGCUGAAAUAAUGCCCACGGAAAUGAGCUUGAAGAUUUUCAGCGAACUGGACAUUGACAGCUUAUGUAGUGCAUUGUUGACCUGCAAACUGUGGCACCAGAUCAUUGAAGACAGCGACCACCUCUGGAGGAAUCACUGCCUGACUGUGCAAGCUUUCUGUCAACAGAAGGUUGAUGGGGACAGACAGUAUGGACUGUCGUGGAAGGUCACGCUGGUGCGGAACUACAGGAGAGGUUUUCUGAAGAGAGAAUGGUUAAGGGGACGAUACAGCAACAUUCGUUCUGCCGAUGAACUACUGGACAGGAACAUGUGCUCAUUGGAUUUGGAGACUUGGGGCGAGAUUCUGGAAGCAGAGCUGGAGAGAUAGAUGCAAUGCUAUAAAGAGAUAUGAGUGAACUCUUUAGAUUUUAUUUUUAUACUUACUUUUUAUACCAUUUGUAUAUAUGAUUAUGGUUAAAUCACAAACUUGUAUAUCUUUUUUGUUAUACAUUAAUAUAUGUUAGGCUAUACUCCAGUAAAAUAUGUAUACCCUUUAAUGGAUUCCUAAAUCAGUGAUACAAUUGUGCCUUCACUACACUGAAUAAAGUGGGGUCAUUAAGAUCA